CCCUACGGGGCGCAGCAGUGGGGAAUAUUGCACAAUGGGGGGAACCCUGAUGCAGCGACGCCGCGUGGGUGAAGAAGUCAUUCGGGACGUAAAGCCCUAUCAGCAGGGAAGAAAAUGACGGUACCUGACUAAGAAGCCCCGGCUAACUACGUGCCAGCAGCCGCGGUAAUACGUAGGGGGCAAGCGUUAUCCGGAUUUACUGGGUGUAAAGGGAGCGCAGACGGCGGUGCAAGCCAGGAGUGAAAGCC
rnacentral:rRNA from 1 species